GCCCGGGUGGCUUUGUGGCGAAGAGUGAUGCCUAUGGAGUGGUAGGUCAGGGGUUCGAGCCCCCGCAUGGGUG